rnacentral:rRNA from 1 species
GGGUUGUGAGGUUAAGCGACUAAGCGUACACGGUGGAUGCCCUGGCAGUCAGAGGCGAUGAAGGACGUGCUAAUCUGCGAUAAGCGUCGGUAAGGUGAUAUGAACCGUUAUAACCGGCGAUUUCCGAAUGGGGAAACCCAGUGUGAUUCGUCACACUAUCAUUAACUGAAUCCAUAGGUUAAUGAGGCGAACCGGGGGAACUGAAACAUCUAAGUACCCCGAGGAAAAGAAAUCAACCGAGAUUCCCCCAGUAGCGGCGAGCGAACGGGGAGCAGCCCAGAGCCUGAAUCAGUGUGUGUGUUAGUGGAAGUGUCUGGAAAGGCGCGCGAUACAGGGUGACAGCCCCGUACACAAAAAUGCACAUACUGUGAGCUCGAUGAGUAGGGCGGGACACGUGGUAUCCUGUCUGAAUAUGGGGGGACCAUCCUCCAAGGCUAA